AUGGCUGUCGUCAGCUCGUGUCGUGAGAUGUUGGGUUAAGUCCCGCAACGAGCGCAACCCUCAUCCUUAGUUGCCAGCGGUUUUAGCCGGGCACUCUAAGGAAACUGCCUGUGAUAAGCAGGAGGAAGGCGGGGAUGACGUCAAGUCCUCAUGGCCCUUACGGGCUGGGCUACACACGUGCUACAAUGGCGGUGACAGUGGGAAGCGAAGGGGCAACCUGGAGCCAAUCCCCAAAAGCCGUCUCAGUUCGGAUUGUACUCUGCAACUCGAGUGCAUGAAGGUGGAAUCGCUAGUAAUCGUGGAUCAGCAUGCCACGGUGAAUACGUUCCCGGGCCUUGUACACACCGCCCGUCACACCAUGGGAGUUGGCUUUACCCGAAGGCGAUGCGCCGACCCGCAAGGGGGGCAGUCGACCACGGUAAGGUCAGCGACUGGGGUGAAGUCGUAACAAGGUAGCCGUAGGGGAACCUGCGGCUGGAUCACCUCCUUUCUAAGGACAUGUCGUGAGUCGAUACUUGCGCCGUCCACGCAUCCCUUCCGAGUUCGGAUACAGAUCACCCUGGCCGGGAUCCAUCUUGGCGUUAAGGGUUGAGAUCGGGGGGCGUAGCUCAGUUGGGAGAGCGACGGCUUUGCAAGCCGUAGGUCGUCGGUUCGAUCCCGAUCGCCUCCACCAUCAUUAAUGAUGGGGCUGCUUGGCUAAAAGGUUUCGUGGUCUGGGAAGCAGGGUUUGGGCUAGUAGCUCAGUUGGUUAGAGCGCGCGCUUGAUAAGCGUGAGGUCGGAAGUUCAAGUCUUCCCUGGCCCACCAUUUUGCGGCGGUGUCGCAAGAUUCGCCGGAGGCACGCUGAUUAAGAAAUCGGCUCGAGUCUCUUGGCCUUAAGAUAUCCGAACUUGGAAGUAUAAAUUUUGCCGCUCCUUGUGGGUUGGUAAAUGUUUGUUCCUUGACAUGGUGAAGAGGUGACGACUUGGGAAUGUCCUUGUUGUCGAAUUGGCCCGAGCGGUGCUCGUGUUCGUUCGGCGCGUUUGGAUGUUCCCGGGAACUGAUGACUAGCAUCUUCAAUCAUGGGUGAUUGUUGGUUCGGUUUGACUUGUGUUUUAUAGUUAGAUUGUUCCGAUAUUUAUCCGUGUGCGAGUUGAUCAAGCGUCAAAAGGGCAUUUGGUGGAUGCCUUGGUGCCAAGAGGCGAUGAAGGACGUGACACGCUGCGAAAAGCCUAGGGGAGCUGCGAGUGAGCUUUGAUCCUGGGAUAUCCGAAUGGGGAAACCCGG
rnacentral:sRNA from 1 species